AGUGGAACAACUGGAUAUACAAAUAUGAAAAAAAGUGUCUGGAACACUUCUUCACACUAUACAAAAAUCCAUUCUAGGAGGGAUUAAGUCCUUACUUUAAAUAUUUUAUGAUGAAAAUGUUUAAACUUACAAAAUAGUAGAGAAGAAUAAAAAUAAUUUUACAUAUAUGUUUUUCUCAACUAGGGAGACAACAGCACUGGGCAAGCAGGACGUAUGGAAGUUAUGUACUGAAAGACUGGUGACACUAGUCAAGUGAAUAACAGUAGGGCUGGCUGGGUAACAUGUGAGCUGGAGAGGAAGAGAUGAAAUGGUAACACUUUUGGCUUAGAAACUUGGAACAUAAAGAAUGAAGAAAAACCAGAAGGAAGAGUUACUAUCUGGCAGGAACACAUUUUCCCCCUUAGCCCUGAAGAGUACGCAGACCAUUGUUAGCAAGGAAGCUAGCUUGUUUUUUGCACCAAAGGAAAGCUAAGGGAACCUCCUAAAAUGCCAUGUACGGGUAGAGAAGAGAUCAUGGUUGAUAACAACAAACAAAAAGAUGAAUCUCCAUCAGACUGGACCACCCAGUGUUCUCACUUUUUCUACUUUACUUCACCAUUGUUCUUCCGGUCUUCUCAGAUCCCUUCCAUCCUCACAAGUCCAGCUUCCUUUUCCUGUCAAUCUCAUCACACACAUUAAGGACCUAAGGGAGCUACAUCAAUAUAUGCUAAUAUCACACUUUGGAAAAGAAAUUAGGAGGUAAAUAGCAUGCCUUCAACAUAUGAUCCUGAGGCACUCUCCACAUUAUUUGUCUUUUCAUAAGCAGGCUUCCAGCUGACUGGAUGGUAUCUACACACGUUGAGGGUGGCUCUUCCCCCACUUAGCCCAUCUAGACUCACACACCAAUGUCCUCUGAAAAGACCCUAACAGACAUACCCAGAAAUAAUGCUUUACCAGUUCUCUAGGUAUUCCUUAAUUUACUCAAGCUGACACGUAAAAUCAGCCAUCACAAAAUCACCCGUUGUCAACUUUGCACCCAUUUGUAUCUCCUUAAAUCAUAAUUUCCUGCAUACAACCAAAAAUGCACUAAUUCCUUUCUAGAAGAAAAGAUAAAGUCAUUGGGUGAUGUUUACUCUUCUCCUGAUAUCCCAUAACAUAUACUAUACUUUUUUUUUUUUUGAGACAGUCUUGCUCUGUUGCCCAGGAUGGAGUGCAGUGGCAUGGUCUCAGCUCACUGCAACCUCUGCCUCCCGGGUUCAAGCAAUUUUAGUACCUCAGCCUCCCGAGUAGCUGGGAUUACAGGCAUGCACCACCACCCCCGGCUAAUUUUUGUAUUUUUAGUAAAGACGGGGUUUCACCAUGUUGGCCAGGCUGGACUCGAACUCCUGGCCUCAGGUGAUCCACCCGCCUUGAUCUCCCAAAGUGCUAGGAUUACAGGUGUAAGCCACCAUUGCCCAGCCUAUGAUAUAAAUUUAACAAUACUUAAAUACUGAUAUAAAGUCAAUAAAUUUUAUGUUACAUGAUAAAGAAAUAAAAGAAAGAAUAUGUACUUAAUAUUGAAAGCCACCAUUUUAGCUAAUAGUAAUGAUUCAGAGAACGUUAAGAGGAUAUACUUUCCAAAUAAUUAACCAAUGUAGUUGCUCAAUAAAUAUUUGUUGAAUUAAAUGAAUAACCAAUGUCUCAAAUCCUAAGGCUAGUGAAAUAUUAUGUAGGAAUUCUGUUUAAACUAGUGAAAUAGAGAUUUACGUAUCCCUCAGUUGAUACUGCUUAUGGACUUGCUAGGAAUAAAGCCAGCUGUCUUUACAGUCUUUCUAUAAGAAGUGUAAGACCAUAGCUAGUUCUUCUGUUAUUUAUUGAAUCAUAUACAGUGUAGGUUUAUUAAUGUCUAGAUCAGCUAUAAUUUGAUCAUAUGUGUAGAAACUUUUAUUAAAGUCUAAAAACAAUAUUCUUGGAGUAAAUGUUAUCUGGACAGUACAUUUCCAAAAUAGAUUCUACCUAUUAAAUUUGUAGGUGUUGUGUUACAGAAAAGUAAGGAGUAUUCUUCUUAUACAGGUCACAAAAUAACAGUUACAGACCUGAAUUUGGGAAAUAAUUUAGGACUGUCAGAAAGCUCUACCAGCUGAGAGGUUUUAGCAAAAUAAUAAUUAAUUAUUUCAAUUUCCCAUCAAGCCUUCUACAAUUUACUCUGUACCUGCACCCUUGUGUGUUACCAUCACAUUCACAUUCUAGCACAAC
rnacentral:lncRNA from 10 species